UAAUACCGCAUAGUAUCUGUGGAUUAAAGGUGGCUUUUGGGCUGUCGCAGAUGGAUGAGCCUGCGUUGGAUUAGCUAGUUGGUGGGGUAAGGGCCUACCAAGGCUACGAUCCAUAGCUGAUUUGAGAGAAUGAUCAGCCACAUUGGGACUGAGACACGGCCCAAACUUCUACGGGAGGCAGCAGUGGGGAAUAUUGGACAAUGGGGGUAACCCUGAUCCAGCAAUGUCAUGUGUGUGAAGAAGGCCUUAGGGUUGUAAAGCACUUUAGUUGGGGAGGAAAGCUUUGAGGUUAAUAGCCUUGAGGAAGGACGUUACCCAAAGAAUAAGCACCGGCUAACUCCGUGCCAGCAGCCGCGGUAAUACGGGGGGUGCAAGCGUUAAUCGGAAUUACUGGGCGUAAAGGGUCUGUAGGUGGUUUGUUAAGUCAGAUGUGAAAGCCCAGGGCUCAACCUUGGAACUGCAUUUGAUACUGGCAAACUAGAGUACGGUAGAGGAAUGGGGAAUUUCUGGUGUAGCGGUGAAAUGCGUAGAGAUCAGAAGGAACACCAAUGGCGAAGGCAACAUUUUGGACCGGUACUGACACUGAGGGACGAAAGCGUGGGGAUCAAACAGGAUUAGAUACCCUGGUAGUCCACGCUGUAAACGAUGAAUACUAGCUGUUGGGGUCGGUGUAAAGGCUCUAGCGGCGCAGCUAACGCGAUAAGUAUUCCGCCUGGGGACUACGGCCGCAAGGCUAAAACUCAAAGGAAUUGACGGGGACCCGCACAAGCGGUGGAGCAUGUGGUUUAAUUCGAUGCAACGCGAAGAACCUUACCUGGUCUUGACAUCCUGCGAGCUUUCUAGAGAUAGAUUGGUGCCUUCGGGAACGCAGUGACAGGUGCUGCACGGCUGUCGUCAGCUCGUGUUGUGAAAUGUUGGGUUAAGUCCCGCAACGAGCGCAACCCCUAUUGAUAGUUACUAUCAUUAAGUUGGGUACUCUAUUGAAACUGCCGCUGAUAAGGCGGAGGAAGGUGGGGACGACGUCAAGUCAUCAUGGCCCUUACGACCAGGGCUACACACGUGCUACAAUGGGUAUUACAGAGGGCUGCGAAGGAGCGAUCU
rnacentral:rRNA from 1 species